UACGUAGGGGGCUAGCGUUGUCCGGAAUCAUUGGGCGUAAAGCGCGUGUAGGCGGCCCGGUAAGUCCGCUGUGAAAGUCGGGGGCUCAACCCUCGAAAGCCGGUGGAUACUGUCGGGCUAGAGUACGGAAGAGGCGAGUGGAAUUCCUGGUGUAGCGGUGAAAUGCGCAGAUAUCAGGAGGAACACCCGUUGCGAAGGCAGCUCGCUGGGACGUUACUGACGCUGAGACGCGAAAGCGUGGGGAGCAAACAGG
rnacentral:rRNA from 1 species